rnacentral:rRNA from 1 species
UGAUGGUGACCCAAACCCUCACCAGAGUAGCAAUUGGAGGGCAAGUCUGGUGCCAGCAGCCGCGGUAAUUCCAGCUCCAAUAGCGUAUAUUAAACUUGUUGCAGUUAAAAAGCUCGUAGUUGUACUUUUGCUUGGGCGGCCAUGGCCAUCGCGGUCGCGCCUGUCCUCGCUUUUGGGCUCGUCCCGUUUUACUUUGAGAAAAUUAGAGUGUUUCAAGCAGACUUUUGUCUUGAAUACUUCAGCAUGGAAUAAUAGAGUAGGACUUUGGUUCUAUUUUGUUGGUUUGGGAACCUUAGUAAUGGUUAAUAGGAACGGUUGGGGGCACUCGUAUUUAACUGUCAGAGGUGAAAUUCUUAGAUUUGUUAAAGACGAACUACUGCGAAAGCAUUUGCCAAGGACGUUUCCAUUAAUCAAGAACGAAAGUUAGGGGAUCGAAGACGAUCAGAUACCGUCGUAGUCCU